GACGAACGCUGGCGGCGUGCUUAACACAUGCAAGUCGAACGGAAAGGCCCUGCUUUUGUGGGGUGCUCGAGUGGCGAACGGGUGAGUAACACGUGAGUAACCUGCCCUUGACUUUGGGAUAACUUCAGGAAACUGGGGCUAAUACCGGAUAGGAGCUCUUGCUGCAUGGUGGGGGUUGGAAAGUGUCGGCGGUAGGGGAUGGAAUCGCGGCUUAUCAGCUGGUUGGUGGGGUAGUGGCGUACCAAGGCUUUGAGGGAUAGGCGGCCUGAGCGGUGGACCAGCCACCAUAGUCCUGCGGUAGGCCCCAGUCGCCUACGGGAGGCAGCAGUGGGGAAUAUUGCACAAUGGGGGGAAGCCUGAGGUAGCAACCCCGCGUGCGGAAUGCCGGCUUACGGGUUGUAAACCGCUUUGUCCUUUGACGAAGCGUGCGUGACGGUAAUGAGUCAAGAAGCACCGGCUAACUACGUG
rnacentral:rRNA from 1 species